rnacentral:lncRNA from 1 species
UGCACAUACAAUUGCUUCUACUUUUGGUCUGCUAUUUUGAUUUUUCUAAUUUUGUAGAAAUUUGCUAUAAAAUUGCUACAACUGAAUUAUAUUAUAUAGUUAUGUUCAUUUUUCAAAGAUUUGCACUGCUUAAUGCAUUAUUUAGAUUUGAACAUCAGAAUAGAGAAUGGAGUAUAUAGAAUGAAAAUUUUUAGAAAAAAUACAUACAGAUCUUUGUUUAUUCUGAAUACAAAACAGGAUCCAUGGGAAUACAAAAUGGAAUCAUUCCUUGCAUUAUUGAAUAGGGUGGAAAUGCACCAUAAUAAUGUGGAAGAUAAAUCCACAGAAUUAGACUGAAUUUUAUAACAAGCUUUCAAACAUGAUUACACUAGAAAUUGUAUCCUUAAACUUUGGAAACAGUGCAAAACAAAGUGA